AGUAACGCGUGGGUAACCUGCCUCAUACAGGGGGAUAACAGCCGGAAACAGCUGUUAAUACCGCAUAAGACCACAGUGCCGCAUGGCACAGGGGUAAAAACUCCGGUGGUAUGAGAUGGACCCGCGUUCGAUUAGCCGGUUGGCGGGGUAACGGCCCACCAAAGCAACGAUCGAUAGCCGAUCUGAGAGGAUGAGCGGCCACAUUGGGACUGAGACACGGCCCAAACUCC
rnacentral:rRNA from 1 species